UUUCCUGACUGCUACUAGAAAAUCAUGGAAAAAUCUGUAUCGCUGUCAAAUUCUUCAGAGUAAAGGUCCUUACACACCGGGGCCGACAUGAAUAUAGAACACGAAAUCACGAAAUACAGUAUAUACAGUAUAUUACAGCUCUCAAUAUUACCAAUGUAAUCACUUCAUUAAGAGAAAAGCUCUCCUCUGAUUGGCUGAUGGAAAUGUGAAUAUCAUAUCUGCGACACUAUUUUGGUGAGUUUGGAGAUGACGGUCUACUAAAUGAGAUGAACCUUUUAUUUGAUCUGAACUUACUCAACCUGCUGACUGGACUGUAAACAAUGAAAGCUCAGAAAAAAAGGAGUGUUUGCUGUGAGUCAGUUUAUGCUUUCUGCUGGAAAUAUUCAGAAGUUAGUGACAGUUCCCACAAUCACAUAUCUUAUCGUAUCAUACCCGUGAUUGUGACCUUAUUCAUCCAAGUUCUGUAUUUACAGUAUAUAUUCUAUAUCUAUCUAAAUGUUACGUCCAAAGCUCGGUUUGUUUACAUCCAGUCGGACUCAUGUGUUCACAUGUAUUUUAAAAGUCCAGUUUCAUCAGAUCCACAUUUAGAACAGUGUGUUCAUGUACUGACUGAAGCAGAGCUGAAUGACAACACAGACUCUGACUCUGGUUCUGAAUCUCUCCCAGCUGGAGAGCUUCACCUGGCACCUCAGCUCAGCGACAGGAACACUGCGAACCAGAUGAGGCUGAACAUGGAAGACUCCUCGCCACAUUAGGGCCAGCUUGAUUCACACGCCUCCUUUUGAUGCGUGCGUCACUUUUAAAAAAAAAAAGUGUCAUCAAAUUUUUGUGCCUUGGCUGCGAGGGUAAGAGAAAUGUUUGAUGGAGAGGUUGAUGCUCCACCAUCUGCUGCGUUUUUUGAUCGACUUUUUCAAACAGAAAAGUGUCAAAGUGUCAGAAUACUUUCCUCCUCUCCUCGGCUUCCACGCCACCGGCUCCACAACCCUCUGACUGAGCUAAUAAUACCUGUAUUUUCCAUUUAGCACUCUGUAUGUGUGUGAGUGAGCUUUCUGACCUUCCUUUUUCGCACUCAUCAUGUGUGGGAGAUCCUGUUGCAUCAGGAGCAAACUGUUUGUGGUUACAAGUGACUGUUAUUCAUCCCUGUUGUGCAACAUCCUCGAAUAACCAUACAGAUACCGUUUUUGGCGGUGCUAACUGAAAUUGGCUCUAAAAUCGACUCCGCCUCGUGUUGGCUGAGAGCUGUGCAGCGUGGGUAAUGUAGGAGCAAGUCUGGGUGUCGGUGGGCAGAUGAAGCUUCUAACCUGAAUGCGAGUCUCCUGCCUGUGGGCUACAGCGGCGCUCGGCUCACCAGGUGGAGAAAAUAGCUCUGGCACCGGCGAGCAGAUCAAAGUGAUCAGACAAGUAAUCCCCCAUGAGUCAGAGAGAAAGCAGCUGGGGGGGAGGGAGGUGAGGAAGGGAGACAAAUCUUAAUGCUUCUUAUUUUAUUACUUUCCCUCAUUCACACAGACACACAGAGGAGGUCAAAAUACACUCCACUGAAGACUUCAGGGAAGGUUAACGAACCAUCAAACUCCAUUAGCAUGACCUCUUGGGGCUCUGCCAUGAUGCUAUAACGCUCUACUACCCGGAUCUCAAUAAGCACAGAUGACAUCCCGUAGAGUUGAAGGUUCAUCUGUAUUCUGAUUUAGACAUAGAGAUAAAGUUGUAGAUGAGCUCUCCGGUAUGACGCAUGACCAGCUCAGGCCUGGAGAGAGUGGAAGCGUUGGGUUCAAACCAGCGUGACCGUGUUAACCUGCAGACGUCGUGAUCCCGUGUUUAGUCAUGUUUGAAAAAAAUCGUUUUCUGGGUGUUUUCUGACUGAAACCACACCUGUUCCUUUGACAAUAACACACACACAUUAGACAUCUAAGACCCUCAGGUGUGUGCAGUCCAGACAUUCAGGGUUAUUACAGGUUCGACUCCCUAAAACCCACAGAGCGCUCCAUCCCAGAAGGGUCACCCUGCCCCACUCCACUGAAGACAUGUGCCAAGUCUCUUUUUGACCGUAGACGAAGCCUCGAUGUCGUCCCCCUUUGGUCCUGAAUCCUAUCAGCGGUGGUCGCCAUAUUGGUGGUGGGCUUUUAGUCUCUCUGCAAACAGCUACUGUGCACCUGCCUGUUAGUCAUGCUUCACUUUCAUGCAUGUGGCUCCAAGUUCAGACAUCAGACACCCCUCUCUCUCUCUCUCUCUCUCUCUCUCUCUCUCUCUGUCUGAUUGCCCUGGAGCAUCUGUUUGUGAUGUUUUCAUCAUGUUAUUUUAUCUGGUAAAUACACAGAGGAGUGCGUGUGAAUUCUCCAUUUUAAAAGUCGUCUCAUAAAGCCUCAAAUUGGUGUUGACGUCAGGAGGGAAAUGUGGGGUGCAGUUGUCGGGUUGCUUGAUCACGGUAUGUCGUUUGUGACAGUGAGAAAUUGUCGCUCUGUUUUGCAUUUUUGCUCCAUGGAAUUAGGUUGAAAUCAGUCAGAGGCUCAUAAGUAAAAGUUUGAACUAAUAGGAAAAUAUAAUACCCGUCUAAAUACAGGUAUCUGAAAUUUCCACCCAAGAAUAAUAUCACAGUAUUCAUUCUUUUCACCUCCCACCCCCACAUGCAAAGUGUGUUAUUUUGUUUAUAAGCCUCAGACGGUUGAAAUCCUCCCCCGGUGUUUCGCUCUGAUCUUCCUGUAAGGUCACUUUGAAGUUAAAGGGUAUUUUCGUUUUGAGUGAAUCAGAAAAUCACCCCGUGAAGACUGUAAUUUCCCCCCUGUGAGGAGAGACAGCUGUGUCACUACACGUCUGGCUUUCCUCACAGGGGAAUAUUCAUCCUCUGCAGACUGGUUUCAGACUCAAAUCUAAUGGGCCUGAUGAUCUUAUGUUUCUGAAACUGAGACUCACCGCUCUCUCUCAGGCUGAAUGAUUUCACCGCUCUGACACAGACGUUAAGAGUUUGUGGUUAUGUGUCAUGAUGGGGAUCGAAUGUACAGCCCCGAGAAAGAAAGAAGGAAAAGAGAAAGAAAAAGAUAAAGCAUGCAAGACCAAGAGCAUAAAGUCCCUGAAGUAAAGAUGUGGUUAGGUUUGGGUUGAAUCAAACUUUCAGACAGGCUGGACUCAGGCUACUGGAGUUUCAAGGAGAAAAUGACCCACUUUUACCUCUCUGCUCAUGGCCAUGUGUUUGCUAACUUAAGGGUUUAGAUCGAGUUUUUAACUUACCCAACACGAGAGGACUCGAAGCAGCCAACCCAACAAACGACAGGAAAAAACCGUCAAGAUAACAGAUGGAUGGAUAUUGUGCUUUUCCUUUCACCGGACUCUUUCAUACUUUUGUGAGCCGUGAACUGAGCAGCUCAUUUUGCGUCUCAUGAACGAGAACGUGAGCGAAGUUGACUGUGGAGACGGUGAACGGCUGCUCGCCUUCUCAGAGGUCUCAAGAGUUACCAAGGGUUAGUAACAGCUGCUGAAGUCAAAUUUAUGUUUUUUUGUGGGUGGAACCACAACGUACAAAUUCUUAUGAUGUUUCCAGAAAACUGCAAUUAGAGAGAGUACCAUUAUUUUACCUCUGAUACCUAUUUGGACACAUCAGGCCCGAUUACAUGGCCUUGGUGCACAAUCUGGGAGUUAAUGGUGCAUUCCAAUUGUACUCGGAAGUCGGGAUUUUCGUGUUCAGAGUCGGAAAUUCAUCUUGAACGCCCCCCUGAAGUCAGAUUUCCAACUCAGAAAGUCGGAUGAUCCUCAUCAUAAUCGAAUGUCAUUAUCCAAGGUGGCAGCUAAGUACAUCAACAGUAAAGAGUAACAGUGAAAGCUCUCAUAAUGUAUUAUUUAUUAUCACUUCUGUUUUGUUUUAGUGAAAUUAAAUAAGUGGUUUAUGUUGUACUGCCCAACGUCUAACUGU
rnacentral:lncRNA from 1 species